AUCUUUUGCCAUACUUCCCAUCAAGAGGUAGAGUCUAUUCCCUUUUGCUGAAUUAGAUGGAGCUUUGUGACAUGCUGUAAUCAAUAAAAUGAAGUGGAUGUUGUGCUUGUUCAGACUGGGCUAGGUUUUAAAGAGGCCUGGUAGUUUUUGUUCUUACUCUCACAUAGAACCCAGCUGCUGUGCUGUAAGGAAGGCAGUCUGGACUGCUAGAGGAAAAGAGAUUACUUAAGGAAUUGAAGCACCCCAGCUGACAGCACCAACUUCAAGUCACGUUAAUGAGACCAUAUUAGAUAUUCCAUUUCCAACUGAUUUCAGCCUUAUGAGGGAUCAUGAUAAUGCCAUGUAAGGCAGGGAUGAGCCACCCAUGCUGAGCCCUGUCCAAAUAGAAUCUUGAGAGAAAACACGAGGUUUUUGCUUUAAGCUACUAAGCUUUGGGUAGGUUUAUUAAACAGCAAUAGGUAACUGAAACACCCAGAUUGUGGAUGAAAAACGGAGGCUCAGAAAGGCUAAGCAACUUGUCCAUGGUUUAGGAGCUAGGAAGCAGCACAACCUGUAUUCAAACCCAGGACCAUCUGACACCAAAAUCCAUAAUCAUAACUGGCGAACUACAUAGUGCCUCCUACAGAAUAACCAAAUUCUGAAGAAUAAUUCACAAAGUAAAUUUUUGUUCCUUCCUUAUUCCAGACAUUACCUAAUGUAGGUUGGACUAAUAAAUAGCAAGACACGUCAGUCUUAAGACCAUAAAGAAUAAAAAUGUUAGAGUUAGAAAUGAAGCAAAAAUGAUCUCUGCCAAGAUCUCACUUCUUGAAAUUGAAAGAAGGUAUCUCACUGGAAGGUGGGUACAGAGCUCUAAAUUUGUUUUCUGGUUUUCAAAAACAACGAUACAAAUAAACAUCUGUUCUCACCUUUAGGAAAUCAGAGAUACAUUAACGCUUAGGGUGGUGAAUGGAAAUUGACAACAGGUGAUUGGUUGGCUCUUUGAAAUUCUCCAGAUGAAUCAUUCUGGGAGAAAAAAAAAAGGAGUACAUUUGUGUUUCAAAGCAUCUCUAAACCCAUCAUUUUCUAAAAUUCCUUACUGCCUGAAAAGCUGCUGGAGCCAUUUAUUCAACAAGCAGGUAGUGACACCUACUCCAUGCAAGUCUCUAAGAACUCCCUGUAUCAAAACCAUGAAGUGUUUUUAUUUCAAUGUACGGGAAUGCUUGCCCAGAAGUCAUUAUUUUAUAAAUCUCACCCCAUCCAGAAGAGAGCUCCAACUGGAAAAGGAAGACAAUGCCAAUGAGCAGUCAAAAUCGGCAUAUCACAGAGUCUGUAUAUUUCAACUUGAGUGCUUUCCUCAUAGGGGACCUUCAGAGUCCCUCAUUCAAAGCCUAUUCAUAUUUAUUUUUAUUUUAUUUAUUUUAUUUUUGAGACAGAGUUUUUGCUCUUGUUGCCCAGGCUGGAGUGCAGUGGCACAAUCUCGUCUCACUGCAACCUCUGCCUCCUGGGUUCAAGAGAUUCUCCUGCCUCAGCCUCCCAAGUGGCUGGGAUUGCAGGUACAUGCCACCAUGCCCAACUAAAGUUUUGUUUUUUGUUUUUUGUUUUUUGUUUUUUUGUAUUUUUAGUGGAGACAGGGCUUCACCAUGUUGGCCAGGCUGGUCUCAAACUCCUGACCUCAGGUGAUCCACCUGCCUCGGCCUUCUAAAGUGCUGGGAUUACAGGCGUGAGCCUCCGCACCCAGCCUAUUCAUGUUUAUUUUUGACGCGAUUCUAACCAGUCUAAUUCUCCCAUUUCCCAGCCUGCAGUAGAUUAGAGGCAGCAAAUGGGAAGGGAGAGUAGUGUUUGCAGCGGGAACACUGAACACAAUGGGAAUAUCCACCAACAGCAAAUUUUGCAGAGGGAUAAAAAACAAAACAACUAACUCAAAAACGCAUCAGAUUCCGGGGUCACUUUGCUUGGACACAAGUAACUGCAACAUCAAGUGCUCUUGAGGGCAUGAAUGCAGUAGAAUGCAGUGUGACGGUGGAUAUCCAGGAAGUGACCCUCGAAAGAGUACAUUGCAUUUCGUUUAAGAAGGCGAGAAGCACAUAACUCAUUUGAGAGAUAACAUAAAACAAACUCAGAUAAUUACAUAUGUGUCACCUUAUUCCUUUACAGUAAGGGAGAAGUCACUGCAAUUUUAUAGUCAAUUGUUGUACCACUGAGCUCUAUUCCCCAACACCGUAAUGUUGAAGGGCAAAACGACCCCCAUGUGAAAACAAUGCAAGCAAUGUUGACUUUCCUUCGUUCACUUCUUAAAGCUCUCUAAGGUUUGCUGAAGGAAUACAGAACUGAGCAUGAGUGUAUUUUCAUCCCUAGGUAUUUUGUGUUGGUUCCCUGGAAACACAGGUAAAGAAAUGAAAAGCAGAGAUGAAAUGACUCACCCAAGAUCCUUCAGCAAAACCAUUAGCCCAGGCAAGAAAAGAAGACCCAGAAGGAGGGAGUGCCUGGUAGGUGGUGGGCACUCACUAAUAUUCACAAAAGGAGGGGAGAAAAUAGAAAGACUAUUGGUUAUUUGCGAGAAAGCAUUUGUUCUAAGAGUUUGCCAAGUCUCUCAGCUAUAAUAGAAGAAAAGACCUGUGGUCACAGGGUCACAGAUGGCUAUAAGUGGCUCUGGAACCCAAUGUGAUCCAAAUGAAAGAAACAUUCUCCAAGGAAUGAAGCAAUGGCUGGAACACCCCUGCUCCCCACAAUGAGCAAGGAGGGAUGGCAUUUAGGAACUGGAGAUGUUAAUAUGAAGUGUUUUGAGUAACUCCUAAAUACUACUACUUAGUUCUUCUGUGGCACUUUCCCACCUCAAAAGCGCUUUACAAACAUUAACUAAUUAAAUCAGCAUGACUUCGGGAAGGGAAAAUUGAGCCUCUUUAAUCUGUUUGAAUUCUCAGAAAAAGCUAAUAAAAUUAAGGUGUAAUGUUCAUUGAAAAGGAGUACACAGAACCAUAAACAGCUUUUGUGAGGGAUUAAAUAUCCAAGUGUGGUGGUGGCAUUUGAUGUCCUCGGAAGCUAUUUAUGGCGAUGUUAUGUCACUGCUCCAACAUCAACCACUGAAGACUGAGUUGCAAAUACCAAGGAGGCUCUGUCUCUGCAAGCAGUCUGUGGCUGCCUGUGGUCACCUGUCGUAAGAUUUUUUUGUUUUUUGUUUUCUGGGCAGGACUUGUCUGAGCCAUGGGUUGAUUGGAAGCAGAAAGGAGGAGGACAUCUGCCUUGAGGGCCAGUCAAACUCUAGCCACCAUUUUACAGAAGGGGCCUUCUAAAGAGGUGCAGGGAUUAGACACCUUCCCAGUUCAGAGCUCAGAACUCUGGUGGGUUCAGGGCACUGGGAAGGUGUCUGAUCUACUUGGUGCAGAGCUGGACAAUCUGCUUCCAUUCAGAUAUUUGGUUGCUGCUGGCACUACAGAAAUGUUUUAAAAUAGUCAAAGUUUUGGUCUGGCACAGUGGCUCAUGCCUGUAAUCCCAGCACUUUGGGAGGCCAAGGCAGACAGAUCAGGAGAUCAAGAUAUCGAGACCGUCCUGGCUAACACAGUGAAACCCCAUUUUACUAAAAAAAUACAAAAAAUAAGCUGGGCCUGGUCAUAUAAUUUACCCAGCUGCAGUCAUAUAAUUUAGAGAGCCUGGUGACUCUACCAUCAAGCAUAUAGUCUCUGCCGAGCACCCAACUCCCUUAGGCUUACCAUGUGUGAUCACAGAACUCGGGAGGCUGAGGCAGGAGAAUCACUUGAACCCAGGAGGUGGAGGUUGCAGUGAGACGAGAUCAUGGCAAAAGAAAUUGUGUACCUGGGCAACAGAGCAAGACUCGGUCUCAAAAAAAAAAGUCACAGUUUUGAGACUGCACAGUGCCUUCUUCCACUGCAUUCUUUUGUGUGUGUGUGUGUGUGUGUGUGUGUGUGUGUAUGUGUGUGUGUGUCUGUGUGACAGAGUCUCACUCUGUCACCCAGGCUGGAGUGCAAUGGCAUGACUUUGGCUUAUUGCAACCUCUGCCUCCCAGGUUCAAGCAAUUCUCGCAUCUCAGCCUGCCAAGUAGCUGGGGUUACAGGCGUGCACCACCAUGCCUAGCUAAUUUUUGUAUUUUUAGUAGAGACAGGGUUUCCCCAUGUUGGUCAGUCUUGUCUCGAACUCCUGGCCUCAAGUGAUCUGCCUGUCUUGGCCUGCCAAAGUGCUGGGCUUACAGGCAUGAGCCACCAUGUCAGGCCUUCCCACUGUGUUCUUAAUCUGGACAAAUUAUUUUGCUUGCUUUUACAUGUUGCCAUUUGAGGGAUCUGUGGGGAUUGCUCCUGUGUGAGGCCCCUAGGAAAUGGGCCUCACCAUACGGUGAGCUUGAGCCCGGACACAGAUCCCGGGUUGGGGGAGUCGAGCUGAGGGAAAGCAGGAACCAAGAGAGGGACUAUGCUAUUCAAAAUAAUUAACAGACAUUACUUUAUGGAUAUGAGGACUUGGGAGGCAUUGUGUCUACUUUCGGCUCCUUAUGGUUUAUUGCUUGAUUGUGUUCAUUUUGGACCCUUGUUACCUUCAUUGUAAAAUAUUAACUUAAGUAUUUACACUUGGUAACUUACCGUAACUUACUGGGUGUAACUGUAACUUACCAUAACUUACUGGGCGUAACUGUAACUUACUUACCGUAACUUACUGGGCGUAACUGACUUACUGGGUGUAACUUAGUGGGCGUAACUUGCUUACUGUAACUUAAGUAUGUUGAUCUGGCUUAAACAACAUUAACUUCAACAAAGUAUAUAAUGGAACAUAUUGCAAAAAUAAAAUUGCUGCUUGGACAUAGCCUAAGCCAGCCCUCCAGACUCCGCUUUUCUUUUUUCUUUCACUUCCACGCACUCUCUCCCUCAGGUUGAAUGAGACAUCUACGUUGGCGGUCCCAGGGACUCCCACAGGUCGGUAGCCCCCUGGGAGAUGUGCCGGACCCCAAC
ensembl:lncRNA